UACGAAGGGGGCUAGCGUUGCUCGGAAUUACUGGGCGUAAAGGGAGCGUAGGCGGACAUUUAAGUCAGGGGUGAAAUCCCGGAGCUCAACUCCGGAACUGCCCUUGAUACUGGGUGUCUUGAGUGUGAGAGAGGUAUGUGGAACUCCGAGUGUAGAGGUGAAAUUCGUAGAUAUUCGGAAGAACACCAGUGGCGAAGGCGACAUACUGGAUCAUUACUGACGCUGAGGCUCGAAAGCGUGGGGAGCAAACAGG
rnacentral:rRNA from 1 species